rnacentral:lncRNA from 1 species
GGAUGUGAGGGCGAUCUGGCUGCAACAUCUGUCACCCCAUUGAUCGCCAGGGUUGAUUCGGCUUAUCUGGCUGGCUAGGCAGGUGUCCCCUUCCUUCCUAACCACUCCAUGUGCAUCCCUUCCAAAGCUGCGUGCUCGGUGGAGGAGUAUGACCAUUCCCAAGAGAGGAGGACCAGUCUUUGGUCAAGGGUAUACGAGUAGCUGCGCUCCCCUGCUAGAACCUCCAGACAAGCUCUCAAG